UAGAUUUGUUGUUCCUAACAAAACUGUUUUGGGAAGAAUUGGUCAAAAUAUAAGAGUAGUAUUCACAUACAACUAUAGAUUCGAAGCAGUCAACGUUACUGUUUCACGUAUAGAUCAGUCGGGAGUAUCCUUUGAAUUGGGUUGCUGGGGCGAGAAACCUUUUUAUCCAGUAGACAAGAGACUGUUGUUCCGUAAAGAAUCUACACCCCAAGAACAACGUCAGAUAUCAUUGACCAUACUAGAUACAAUUUUUCAAGAUUAUGAUGCUACCUACAAAUUUGAUGUCAUAUUCCAAAAUGGCUAUACAAGUUCUGUCGAAAUUGAAGUAAAGUUGCAAUCUGAGAAAGUGAUACCUGAAACAAAAAAGAUGAGCUUUGAACCCAUUCUGUUGAUCGUGUUGCUGUUAAUAAUAAUAUUGGUAUGUUUCCUUGUUGGAUUUUUUGUUCGUGGCUUUAAACGUAGAUCACAUGACACAGAGAGACAGGAACGCACCAAUAUUUCUGAAAAUAAUAAUUUUAAUUUCAACAACCCUGGGGGAAUUAGCACCAUCCCUGAUUCUACAUCCAUCGAUACAGAUAUAUCAUCCAACAGCACAAAUGCAUAUGCCAAUCCUUACGAUCCUGUCAACAGAGAUGAAAUUGAUAACCGUAAAAACUUUUAUAUGUCACUACUAAAUCCUGGAACUCGUGAGACUGAGCAAGAUAAUGUCAACGAGACAAAUGUUGACGACAACUCAGUAGUCAGUAGAGAUGAUGUCCAUGAUUUCGUUUCAUCCGAUGAUGAUACACAUGCGUCAUCCAAUGACACAGUCGCAUAUGCCAAUCCUUACGAUCCUAUCAAUAAAGAUGAUAUUGAUACCCGUAAAAACUUUUACACGCCAUUACUAAAUCGUGGAAGUCGUGAGACUGAGCAACAAGAGACACAUAUUGACGAUAACUCAGAAGUCCGUAUAGAUGAUGUCCAUGAUUUCGUGACAUCCGAUGAUGAUACAGCGACACGGAAUUCUGAUCCGUACGAUGCCAUGGAUAAAGAUGCCGAUAGUACCAAUAUACAUAGUUAUUUGUCGCUGCCACAAUUUUCAAGAUCAGCCUGGGAAGAGAACGGGAUAUCGACAAAUUCGAGAAAUGUCGACCGCGUGAUGAUAAUAAAAAAACGACCCUCAACCAUCUAGGUUGACUUUAGACAGCUAGAGGUACGCUUUGUUGAAUUAGGCCAAUCAGGUUGCAUUGUUUGUAGCUUUUGACAACAUUGUUUGUUUUUUUACAUUAUUUCAUCUGUCGAACAUGAUUAGCUUGCAGUGGUUUUCAAUAGCCAUGUAUAUAGAUCUUGCGAUUAAAAUUCAAUUAUUCAUUUGUAUUUGUGUCCCGUCUUCAUUAGCCCAGUCGGGGCAGAAAAGUAGUACGCUAAUCCCCAUUUUAUUUCAUUUUGUAUUUUUGAUGUCAUUUUUAAUAUAUCCCGUUGCCUUUAUUACUUGAUUUUUUAUAAUUUAUAUUUUCAUUUGUGGUUUCAAUUUUAAUUUUUUUUUUUUUAUUAUAAAUCGAUUUUUUAAUACAUUAAAUGUAUUGAUGUAUACAUAAAUUUCUUUUGAUUUAAUGUUUUGUUUAUUUUACAGUGAAGUAACUGAUGCACGGUUAUAAUUUGCUUUUCGCUUUUGAAAUUGUUUAUUGUUGUUAUGUUAUUUUCGUUCGACAGACACAGUUCUGUAGUAACUUUCAAUUGUUAUGUUCGCUUUAUUUAGAAUAUUUUUUUUGUUUCAAAAACUUGUUAUAUUAAAUUGCCUUUUCGAUUGAAUAUAGGUAAUAUAUUACUUGAUUGUUUACUGUAUUGAAAUAUUCGCCAUGUUGUUGUUUUUGUUUAAUUUAAUUUCUUCUUUUUAAAACUGUUUAUUAUCUUUUUAACAUUU